rnacentral:rRNA from 1 species
GAUGAACGCUGGCGGCGUGCUUAACACAUGCAAGUCGAACGAAGCACUUUGGACGGAUUCUUCGGAUGAAGUCCUUAGUGACUGAGUGGCGGACGGGUGAGUAACGCGUGGGUAACCUGCCUCAUACAAGGGGAUAACAGUUAGAAAUGGCUGCUAAUACCGCAUAAGAGCACAGUACUGCAUGGUACAGUGUGAAAAACUCCGGUGGUAUGAGAUGGACCCGCGUUGGAUUAGCUAGUUGGCAGGGUAACGGCCUACCAAGGCGACGAUCCAUAGCCGGCCUGAGAGGGUGGACGGCCACAUUGGGACUGAGACACGGCCCAGACUCCUACGGGAGGCAGCAGUGGGGAAUAUUGCACAAUGGGGGAAACCCUGAUGCAGCGACGCCGCGUGAGCGAAGAAGUAUUUCGGUAUGUAAAGCUCUAUCAGCAGGGAAGAAAAUGACGGUACCUGACUAAGAAGCCCUGGCUAACUACGUGCCAGCAGCCGCAGUAAAAC